GGCCUAACACAUGCAAGCCGAGCGGUAUAGUUUCUUCGGAAAUGAGAGAGCGGCGUACGGGUGCGGAACACGUGUGCAACCUGCCUUUAUCUGGGGGAUAGCCUUUCGAAAGGAAGAUUAAUACUCCAUAAUAUAUUGAACGGCAUCGUUUAAUAUUGAAAGCUCCGGCGGAUAGAGAUGGGCACGCGCAAGAUUAGCUAGUUGGUGAGGUAACGGCUCACCAAGGCGAUGAUCUUUAGGGGGCCUGAGAGGGUGAUCCCCCACACUGGUACUGAGACACGGACCAGACUCCUACGGGAGGCAGCAGUGAGGAAUAUUGGUCAAUGGGUGCAAGCCUGAACCAGCCAUCCCGCGUGAAGGACGACUGCCCUAUGGGUUGUNAACUUC
rnacentral:rRNA from 1 species